UUUUAAAAGAAGAUUUCUUCGGAUUGACUCUUUUAUUAUCUUAGCGGCGGACGGGUGAGUAACGCGUGAGAAACCUGCCUUUCACAAAGGGAUAGCCUCGGGAAACUGGGAUUAAUACCUUAUGAUACUUUUAGAUAGCAUUAUUUAAAAGUCAAAGCGUAAAGCGGUGAAAGAUGGUCUCGCGUCCCAUUAGCUAGUUGGUGAGAUAAAAGCUCACCAAGGCAACGAUGGGUAACCGGCCUGAGAGGGUGAACGGUCACACUGGAACUGAGACACGGUCCAGACUCCUACGGGAGGCAGCAGUGGGGAAUAUUGCACAAUGGAGGAAACUCUGAUGCAGCGACGCCGCGUGAACGAUGAAGGCUUUCGAGUCGUAAAGUUCUGUCCUAGGGGACGAUAAUGACGGUACCCUAGGAGGAAGCCCCGGCUAAUUACGUGCCAGCAGCCGCGGUAAUACGUAAGGGGCGAGCGUUGUCCGGAAUUAUUGGGCGUAAAGGGUUCGCAGGCGGCCUUUUAAGUCAGAUGUGAAAUCUCACGGCUUAACCGUGGUAAGCAUUUGAAACUGAAAGGCUUGAGUUAAGGAGAGGAAAGUGGAAUUCCUAGUGUAGCGGUGAAAUGCGUAGAUAUUAGGAAGAAUACCAGUGGCGAAGGCGACUUUCUGGACUUAUACUGACGCUGAGGAACGAAAGCAUGGGGAGCAAACAGGAUUAGAUACCCUGGUAGUCCAUGCCGUAAACGAUGAGUGCUAGGUGUUGGGGGUCAAACCUCGGUGCCGCAGCUAACGCAUUAAGCACUCCGCCUGGGGAGUACGUACGCAAGUAUGAAACUCAAAGGAAUUGA
rnacentral:rRNA from 10 species